AUUGAACGCUAGCGGGAUGCUUUACACAUGCAAGUCGAACGGCAGCGCGGACUUCGGUCUAGCGGCGAGUGGCGAACGGGUGAGUAAUGUAUCGGAACGUGCCCAGUAGCGGGGGAUAACUACGCGAAAGCGUAGCUAAUACCGCAUACGCCCUACGGGGGAAAGCAGGGGAUCGUAAGACCUUGCACUAUUGGAGCGGCCGAUAUCGGAUUAGCUAGUUGAUGAGGUAACGGCUCACCAAGGCGACGAUCCGUAGCUGGUUUGAGAGGACGACCAGCCACACUGGGACUGAGACACGGCCCAGACUCCUACGGGAGGCAGCAGUGGGGAAUUUUGGACAAUGGGGGCAACCCUGAUCCAGCCAUCCCGCGUGUGCGAUGAAGGCCUUCGGGUUGUAAAGCACUUUUGGCAGGAAAGAAACGUCGCGGGCUAAUACCCCGUGGAACUGACGGUACCUGCAGAAUAAGCACCGGCUAACUACGUG
rnacentral:rRNA from 1 species